GAUAACGAACGAGACUUGCUUUAAAUAGCUAGGCUAGCUUUGGCUGGUCGCUGGCUUCUUAGAAGGACUAUUGCUCAAGCAAAUGGAAGUGCGAAGCAAUAACAGGUCUGUGAUGCCCUUAGAUGGUUCUGGGCCGCACGCGCGCUACACUGACAGAGCCAACGAGUUCUUCCUUAGCGAAAGGUUUGGGUAAUCUUGUUAAACUCUGUCGUGCGUGGGGAUAGGGCAUUGCAAUG
rnacentral:rRNA from 1 species